CCCGGUGGGGGCCAGCAGGGUCAGGGCCCGCGGAAACCCUCAGCCUGGCGGGCCGGGAGGCCGCGGUGCUGCACUGGCUCGGCGCGCUCCCCGAGUGGCGCUCAGGCGGGGCGCGUUCAUUUCAUCUACAGACUGUCGGGAAGGCUUCCCGAACUCCUCCUCCCUGCCCGCCUUUGCGCAGGGCCGGACUCUUCGGAAACUGAAAUCACGGGCCGCCCGGCCCCCACCAGUCCUCGUGGGAUCCGGCCCGGGUUAACCUUCUAUGGGGAGGCCCAGGAGGGCCGGGCGGAGCGCCGGGGCGGGCGUGCGCUGACGUGGCGAGCGGCUCCCUCCACCCGCUCCUCCCGCGGGCACUGCCGAGGCCCAUGGGCGGGAAGCCGGGCGGCGGGCGGGACGUGGCCUCGGUCCCGGCCCUGCCCCGCCCCGCCGCCACUGAGACUCCCAGCGCCACCAACGUCGGAGUUGCAGUUUCUUUAGCUGUCAUAUGCAGACAAGUACUACCCACCUCGCCUUUGGAGUGAGCAGCAUCCCUGUGCCCAUCCUGCUGUGAUUCAGGAGUCUCGCAGAAGACAUCAGAAUGCCUUUCUCUGAGUCACAGUCUGUAUCUUCUAGAAAAGGCUGUCCAUCUUCACCCCAAGCCCACUGGCUCCUGAGAUACGACAUCCAGACCCAGUGCAGCUGGACCUGGCCCAGGAAGAUCAUGCGGUUUCUGGGAAGCACUGGAGAAGGAAAAGGCUGAAGAAAGGAAGACCGGAAAAGAAAUACAAGUCCUUCCGCCUUGGCAAAGAUGAUAGUACCGUUCCCUUCAGUGUUCCGGUUCUGCUCUAUUGGAUAAGUUCCGGUUUGACUAUGACUACGUGAAAAUGUGGAACCAGACCUUCACCCCACAUUCCAGCUCCAGCUCUACCACAGAGGAAGUGCAAUAUCACCUUAGUUAUUCAACACAUUAUGCUCCUCGUGAUACAACCAGAGUUCACAUCAGCAAUCUUGGCAGCUCUCACCACGCUGCUGACUCACGACUCUCUCAUGUCCCAAUUUCCUGUCCAUUGUUCUUUCCUCUACUUGGCCUGAUUUCUAAAGGCCUCUCUUGGUUGCAUUAAGCGGGAUUCCUGAGGGAUUCCCUUGGCAGUUACCUUGGGGGAGCUCUUAGGUUUGGGGCUGAUCCAUGUCCUCUAAAUGUAGGACUUCAAAGCUCCCAAAGAUAGGCAGGCCCAGUGGGAAGCUGGGAAAUGCUCUCUGACCCCUCUGGGAGGGCUGGCAGUCAGAGGGCCUUUUGGAAAGAGUCAGACCUGAUCCAUAAGUCCCUGGAAAACACCCUGCCCAGGGAGCAAAUGCCACUGUGGCCUUGACUGAGGCUUCAGAAGAGUUUGGGAGCUGCAAUUCAUCCACACACGCAUUCAUUUUCAAGUAGUGGUUUGCAGUUCAGGCUUUGGAGCCACAUAAGCCUGGCUUCAAAGCCACUUUCCAGCUUUGUAGGAAGUCUCUACAUUUUUAAACCUCCAUUUUUUUUUCCUGUAAAACUGGGGUCUUCAUGGUACUUAACUUCAUCGUGAUGUUGAGAGAAUGAAAAGAAAAAGGAUAAAUAAAUGGCUUAGCCUCGUGCCUUGGCACA
rnacentral:lncRNA from 1 species